rnacentral:rRNA from 1 species
AGACGGGACCCGCACAGCGGUGGAUGAUGUGGAUUAAUUCGAUGCAACGCGAAAACCUUACCUACCCUUGACAUGUCCGGAAUCCGAAGAGAUUUGGGAGUGCUCGCAAGAGAGCCGGAACACAGGUGCUGCAUGGCUGUCGUCAGCUCGUGUCGUGAGAUGUUGGGUUAAGUCCCGCAACGAGCGCAACCCUUGUCAUUAGUUGCCAUCAUUUGGUUGGGCACUCUAAUGAGACUGCCGGUGACAAACCGGAGGAAGGUGGGGAUGACGUCAAGUCCUCAUGGCCCUUAUGGGUAGGGCUUCACACGUCAUACAAUGGUCGGUACAGAGGGUUGCCAACCCGCGAGGGGGAGCUAAUCCCACAAAGCCGAUCGUAGUCCGGAUCGCAGUCUGCAACUCGACUGCGUGAAGUCGGAAUCGCUAGUAAUCGUGGAUCAGCAUGUCACGGUGAAUACGUUCCCGGGUCUU